rnacentral:rRNA from 1 species
AUGAGUAUGCAAGGGCUGGACUCGUUUCUGGGCGCAAUAAAGGUUUGGUCAUGGCUCCGCUUCCAGCCCAUGUUGAGGUUCUCGGUGCCCCCUCGGAUGGUUUGGCUUCUCGAUGAUCAUUGGGACAAACAACACCGGUCGUAUGCUAUGUCGGUGAAGCAUCGGGAGCUUGCACCUCUGAAGCUUCAGUUUCACGGGGUCACCCUUGGAUGGAUGCGCUAUGAUGAGCGGUACACACCGUAUGUAAGGGAGGCAGGACUUCUCCCUUUCAUUCAGUUGGUCCGUCGGUCGACGCCACCCAACAAUGCUGCAGCACUCACCGCGCUUAUUGAUCAUUGGAGGCCGGAGACACACACUUUCCAUCUUCGGACUGGGGAGAUGAUCGUGACGCUCCAGGAUAUUGCUAUGAUCACCGGUCUUCCUAUCGAUGGCAAUCCUUUAUGUAUGAACACCGAUUCUGAUGGGUGGCGCGCGCAGAUGCAUGCCCUUAUCGGUAUGGUUCCUCCGGAGCCUCGGGAACCAGAAGCAGAAGAUAAGAAGAGGGAAAGAGUCGCAGCCGGCGCUACUUUCACGUGGAUAUCAUCGAACUUCAGUACUUGCCCUGAGGAUGCUAAUGAGGACAUGGUGAAGACAUAUGCUCGUGUCUACAUGUGGUACGUGAUAUCCAGGACUAUGUUUGCUGAUGGCACAGGCAAGAAUGCUCCAUGGAUGUGGCUGAAGGCGUUGACCGUCUUCGAUAGCAAAUGGAGUUGGGGUUCGGCGAUACUGGCUUACUUGUAUCGACAGUUGGACGAAGCCUGUUGUAGGCACACUGGAGGUAUUGGUGGUUGUCUGCUCGCACUUUCCAUAUGGAGUUGGGAGCGUUUGCCGGUUGGACAACCGAAGACCGUGAAGUACGAGGAUUGGGACGACAAAGACGACCCACUACGGCUCCCCACUUGGGCUUACAAGUGGGAUGUGUUAAAUGAGACGACGGAUGAUCCCUCGGUAAUGUACAAGUUGUACAAGAGCGAGCUGGAUGCGAUCACGCCUGAGCAGGUGGAAUGGGAGCCGUAUGGAAAAGGAGAGAGUUUUGGUAACCCUAUAGAGUUCAGGCUGAAUCCGAUGUGCACUAGGGAUAGGGAUCUCUGGCAUAUGCGGUGCCAACUGAUAUGCAACUGGGCGGUUGAGCUUCACCUGCCACAUCGGGUGUUCCGCCAGUUUGGUUUGUUCCAGCCACACCCGCCGGAGUGGGAGGACACGGACAAGUUGUUAUACGCGUUGGAUAGGAAAAAGCAACGGAAGAUCAAGGAUUGGACCAAGCAUCACAGGAAGUAUGUCGUGCAGUUCGCUCUUAGUGUGGAGCAAGCAAGGGCUGGAAAACGAGCCCAGCUUCGUGAGCACUGCCCGAUCGCGUUCAACAACUAUCUCACAUGGUUUCUUGCAAGUACCCGCGUGGAGGUAUGCAAGCCGGCGUAUGCUGAGGAGAUUCUGGAAGAACCCAUCGUUUUUGAUGAGGUAGCCCAGCACCAGUACAACGCAUUAGUCAGGAAAGGCAACUCGGUGAUCCCUUCAGCUCCAAUGAUGAACUUUGUGCGUGUCCAGAUCAAGAAAGCAGUUGAUGAGACCGAGACUAUUCUGGAAACAACCCCGGCUGGCAAAAGCGACGAGGAAGGUGCACUUCGAGCAUUCAUUAAGCGCCAGGGCCAAAAGUUAAGGCGGCUAUCAAACCUUUUCGGUUGUCGUGACCCUGAGUAUGUAUCACCAGAACGGUCUAGGUCGGCGACACCAUCAGAUCCCGCUUCGGGGUAG